rnacentral:lncRNA from 1 species
UAUGGAAAGUUCCAAAUAAGGAAAGUUUCAUAUAUGGAAAGUGCCAAACAAGGAAAGAGUCAAAGAGCGCAGCCAGCAAACUGUCCGAAAUUCGAACUGCAGAAUCCUUCCUGCCUUGUUUAGAACGUGUGCCAAGAAAGGAAAGUCUUCAAAUAAGGCAAGUUUUCAGAAAAGGAAAGUCUUCAAAUGAGGAAAGUGCAGAGGCAAAAGCAAAUAAGGAAAGCUCGGUCAGAGGAUUAUUUAAAAUUCAAAUCGCAGAUAUUUCUUUCCUUAUUCAAAGAUGUGCACAUACUGCAGCAGUCAUAUCUUCCAAUUUAGGCAGCAAGAUCUCAUGAAGGCACACUUGCCUCUUCUGCGUUCAACGUUUAAAAUUCAAACGAAGGCUCC